rnacentral:rRNA from 1 species
UACGUAGGGGGCUAGCGUUGUCCGGAAUCAUUGGGCGUAAAGCGCGUGUAGGCGGCCCGCUAAGUCCGCUGUGAAAGUCCAGGGCUCAACCCUGGGAUGCCGGUGGAUACUGUCGGGCUCGAGUCCGGAAGAGGCGAGUGGAAUUCCUGGUGUAGCGGUGGAAUGCGCAGAUAUCAGGAGGAACACCGGUGGCGAAGGCGGUUCUCUGGGCAGUACCUGACGCUGAGGAGCGAAAGUGUGGGGAGCGAACAGG